rnacentral:rRNA from 1 species
GACGAACGCUGGCGGCGUGCUUAACACAUGCAAGUCGAACGGAAAGGCCCUGCUUUUGUGGGGUGCUCGAGUGUCGAACGGGUGAGUAACACGUGAGUAACCUGCCCUUGACUUUGGGAUAACUUCAGGAAACUGGGGGUAAUACCGGAUAGGAGCUCCUGCUGCAUGGUGGGGGUUGGAAAGUUUCGGCGGUUGGGGAUGGACUCGCGGCUUAUCAGCUUGUUGGUGGGGUAGUGGCUUACCAAGGCUUUGACGGGUAGCCGGCCUGAGAGGGUGACCGGACACAUUGGGACUGAGAUACGGCCCAGACUCCUACGGGAGGCAGCAGUGGGGAAUAUUGCACAAUGGGAGGAAGCAUGAUGCAGCAACGCCGCGUGCGGGAUGACGGCCUUCGGGUUGUAAACCGCUUUCGCCUGUGACGAAGCGUGAGUGACGGUAAUGGGUAAAGAAGCACCGGCUAACUACGUG